CAGGCAUAAAUUCAAUAAAAGUGGCGGCCGCCGGGCCGUCGGUGUCGCUGCCUCAGGCGACACUUCAUUCCCCGAGACGACGUAGAAGUAAGUAGCUCGUAAAAUAAUUUAGUGG
ensembl:ncRNA Y105C5B.1417 ncRNA